rnacentral:misc_RNA from 1 species
GUUGGUCAGGUUCGUCGUAAAGUCGACACGCACCAUUAUAUGUGAAUGCUAGUGUCGGUCUUCUAAUGUAAGUGUACUCGUUCGAAUAAUGUUCAGACCGGUUGUAGCUUCGCAUCAAGCUGGUUAAAUAUAUUUAAGUUUAAAUAUUCGAUUUCAUUUUGUUUGAAGGACCUUAAGAAAAUCAACAAGUCUAGAGUGGAAUUAUCAAAUAAUGCAAUACAUGCCAGGAAAGUACCUUUGUCCAACCAAGAUACAUAUACAGAAUGAAGCAGUAACAAUUUAUCAUUGACCUUGUGGAAAUGAAUAUUUUAAUUUCGAUUAAAUUUGUUUUUCAAAUUGAUUAGGAUUUCCAAUUAAUUAUAUUAUUUAUUUCAAUAAAAACCUUUUUCGACCCAAUAAAAUAAUAUAUCAAAGUAA